AGAGUUUGAUCCUGGCUCAGGACGAACGUUGGCGGUGCGCUUAAUGCAUGCAAGUCGAGGGAGAACCUUUCGAUCCGUAAGGACCGAAUGGGGAAACCGGCGAACGGGUGCGUAACACGUGAGGAACCUGCCCCGAAGACCGGGAUAGCCCGAGGAAACUCGGAUUAAUACCGGAUACCCUCCUCGGACCACAUGGUCUGUUGAGGAAAUGGUCCGCCGCUUCGGGAUGGCCUCGCGGCCUAUCAGCUUGUUGGUGAGGUAACGGCUCACCAAGGCAAAGACGGGUAGCUGGUCUGAGAGGACGAUCAGCCACACUGGGACUGAGACACGGCCCAGACUCCUACGGGAGGCAGCAGCAGGGAAUAUUGCACAAUGGGCGAAAGCCUGAUGCAGCGACACCGCGUGCGGGAUGAAGGCCCUCGGGUUGUAAACCGCUUUCAGGAGGGACGAAAAUGACGGUACCUCCAGAAGAAGGCCCGGCCAACUACGUGCCAGCAGCCGCGGUAAUACGUAGGGGCCAAACGUUGUCCGGAUUUAUUGGGCGUAAAGGGCUCGUAGGCGGUUCAACAAGUCGAUCGUGAAAGCCCGGGGCUCAACCCCGGGACGCCGGUCGAAACUGUUGUGACUAGGGUCCGGUAGAGGUGAGUGGAAUUCUCGGUGUAGCGGUGGAAUGCGCAGAUAUCGAGAGGAACACCAGUU
rnacentral:rRNA from 1 species